AUAACCAAAUACACUGAAAGUCCAGAAAAAAGAGGACCUAGUUUAGAACCAUUUGAAAAACUGAGCAAGCCGAUGUCCAAAAGACAGCAUCUUUAAUCACGUUAUCCUUCUUUGCACACUGACAAUUCCCUGCAUUCAUACAUCAUCGUCAGCGACAGUCAAUUCGAGGUGUUAGUUCAUUUCG